CCAUCCUCUCUCCGCAGUUUCCAGCAUUUCGAAUUUUCUCGCAGUUUCUCUUUCCCCAAGCAGGCUCCAAAGAAACCUUCCGCCAUGGCAACAUUCAGCCUUCCCCGCAAGGGAAAUACGAGGCUGCCGCCGGAGGUCAACAGAGUCUUGUUCGUAAGAAAUUUGCCCUUCAACAUCACCAGCGAAGAGAUGUACGAUAUCUUCGGCAAAUACGGCGCGAUACGGCAGAUUCGGAUUGGUACGAACAAGGAUACUAGAGGUACCGCCUUUGUCGUUUACGAAGAUAUCUAUGAUGCUAAGACGGCGGUGGAUCAUCUCUCCGGUUUCAAUGUUGCGAAUCGGUAUCUGAUCGUGUUGUACUACCAGCAAGCCAAGAUGAGUAAAAAAUUCGACCAGAAGAAGAAAGAGGAUGAACUCGCUAGGAUGCAGGAGAAGUACGGUGUUUCCACGAAAGAUAAGUAAAAGGUAAUUGUUGGGAGAGUAAUAAUGGAGGAAGUUUUGGCAAAUUAGAGACCAACCUAUGAGUAGACACAUAUUCUUGUGGAGAAGUAUCAAAGUUUCGAAGAUACUAAGUACAAAAAUGGCGUUUGUGCCGUUGUUACGAAUUCCUAUGGGGCCAUUUGAACAGAAAAAGAGUGUCUUUGAAGAUGAUGGUUUAGAAAGCAAGGCGUCUUCUUCGCCCUUACCUAAAAUGUUUCCCUUUCAUGUUUAUUUUUAUAUUACAAUUUUGUUGAAGUUUCUGUUUAUGUUGUGUUUGGAUUUGGAUUGUAUUUUCACAUUCAGAGUGUCAACAACUAUGAUAGAUCCUCGAGUAUAUUUUAGUAAAAGAAAGUAUAUUGUUCGAAUC